rnacentral:rRNA from 1 species
UACGGAGGGGGCUAGCGUUGUUCGGAAUUACUGGGCGUAAAGGGCGCGUAGGCGGCUCAUUAAGUCAGGCGUGAAAGCCCCGGGCUCAACCUGGGAACUGCGCUUGGGACUGGUGGGCUUGAGACCGGGAGGGGAUGGCGGAAUUCCCAGUGUAGAGGUGAAAUUCGUAGAUAUUGGGAAGAACACCGGUGGCGAAGGCGGCCAUCUGGACCGGAUCUGACGCUGAGGCGCGAAAGCGUGGGGAGCAAACAGGAUUAGAUACCCUGGUAGUCCACGCCGUAAACGAUGUGCGCUAGACGUUGGGGGUUUGGCCCCCGGUGUCGCCGCUAACGCAUUAAGCGCACCGCCUGGGGAGUACGGCCGCAAGGUUA